CUUGAUUUGUCCUGCAAGUUUAACUCACUGGGUUAUUGUUUCACAGUGUUCAUCUUAAACGUUCAGUUCUCAACAACAACAAUAAUAAUAAUAAUAAUAAUAAUCAUGCUGCAGACAUGUCAGGGUGCAUUUCUCCUGAAGGAGUGGUCAGCUGGUUUAUGACUGUGUGUAUGCUGAUAUGCAGCCAGCAGCCGUGUGCCUGAUUUAGCAGAAAUGCUUGGAUAGCAACAGUAACAACUUUUAGCUGUGGCCUGGUCUCUCAGCGGGAGAGCCACUCAGUGGCCAUGUGGUUAUGGGUGCCUUUGGCCCCCUCUCUUCCCCGCUCCGUGGGUGUCUCUCCUCCCUCUUUCCAUUUCUACCUGACAUCUUCAAACUAUUUCGGCGUCAUUCUUGCCCAGCUCCUUUUGAAGAGACCCAGGGAAACUGAAGCGAGCGCUCCUCCCACUAAUCCAACCACUACCGACUGGUGUAAGCAGCUCAGGAUGUCCACCCACCUCCUCCUCCUCCUCCUACUCCUCCUCCUCCUCCUACUCCUCCUCCUCCUCCUCCACUGCCCAGGGCUUCUCCCUCGCUGAGCCAGCCAUGACCAGCCAGCACACACAUACACAUCCCUCCUUCAGCUCCAUCCACUCCAUGGCCGAGCAGCAGCAGGUUAUUUCUGAUACAAACAUACUCCAGCGGAGGAUCCCCCCAAGUUUCAGAGACCCUGCCAGUGCUCCACUGAGGAAGCUCUCUGUUGACCUCAUCAAAACAUACAAGCACAUCAAUGAGGUGUAUUAUACUAAGAAGAAGAGGCGGGCCCAGCAAGUCCCUCCAGAAGACAGCAGCACCAAGAAGGAGAGAAAAGUUUACAACGAUGGCUACGACGAUGACAACUACGACUACAUUGUUAAAAAUGGAGAAAAGUGGCUGGACCGCUAUGAGAUAGACUCACUGAUUGGGAAAGGCUCAUUUGGACAGGUGGUGAAGGCCUACGACCACCAUGAGCAGGAAUGGAUCGCCAUUAAGAUCAUCAAGAACAAAAAGGCCUUUCUAAACCAGGCCCAGAUUGAACUACGCCUGCUGGAGCUCAUGAACAAGCAUGACACUGAAAUGAAAUAUUACAUAGUCCACCUGAAGCGUCACUUUAUGUUUAGAAACCAUCUCUGUUUGGUGUUUGAGUUGUUAAGCUACAAUCUGUAUGAUCUUUUGAGGAAUACCAACUUCAGAGGAGUUUCCCUCAAUCUCACCAGGAAAUUUGCACAACAGCUCUGUACAGCUUUAUUAUUCCUGGCCACUCCAGAGUUGUCAAUCAUCCACUGUGACCUAAAACCAGAGAAUAUCCUGCUGUGUAACCCCAAACGGUCUGCCAUCAAGAUUGUGGACUUUGGAUCUUCCUGUCAGCUUGGACAGAGGAUCUAUCAGUACAUCCAAAGCAGGUUUUACCGAUCUCCUGAAGUUCUGUUGGGAAUGCCAUAUGACCUGGCCAUCGACAUGUGGUCUCUGGGAUGUAUCCUGGUGGAGAUGCACACGGGAGAGCCUCUCUUCAGUGGCUCUAAUGAGGUUGACCAAAUGAAUAAAAUCGUGGAGGUUCUGGGUGUCCCGCCCAGCCACAUGCUGGAUGCAGCACCUAAAGCUAGGAAGUACUUUGACAAGUUGUCAGAUGGUCUUUGGACUGUCAAGAAGAACAAGGACUCAAAGAAGGAGUAUAAACCUCCAGCAACACGGCGUCUUCAUGAGAUUUUGGGUGUUGAAACAGGGGGUCCAGGGGGGCGGCGGGCAGGGGAGCCAGGACACGCCCCCUGUGACUACCUGAAGUUUAAAGAUCUGAUCUUGCGCAUGCUGGAUUAUGAUCCAAAAAGCCGCAUCACACCAUUCUACGCACUGCAGCACAACUUCUUCAAGAAGACAACAGAUGAAGGAACUAACACCAGUUCAUCGACAUCCACGUCCCCCGCCAUGGACCACUCCCAUUCAGCCUCCACUACCAGCUCUGUGACUCUGCCAUCAGUUGGUGGUUCUUCCAACGACAACCGCAACUACCGCUACAGCAACCGCUACUACAACUCUGCUGUGACACACUCAGACUAUGAGAUGACGAGCCCUCAGGCUCCGUCUCAGCAGCAGAUCAGAAUAUGGCCAGGCAGUGAGGGUGGAGGUGGGGGACAGGACCCAUCAUACACCCAGUUGCUCCUUCACAAGCCAGCUGCCUCCCAGCAACACCAGCGCCACUUCCUGGACCCACCCCACCACCCCCACCCAACCUACUCCCAUCACGGAAAUGGCGAGCGCGGCCUGCGCCAGGCUGGACAGACGGGCAUCGGUGGAGGUGGGGGCCAGCAGGGAUCCCCGCCAGAAAUGAGUGACAGCAUGGAUGUGGGUGUGUCCCUGGGGCUGCACCACCUGGGGGCAGUGUCUUCCAUGGAGGCCUCUCAGUUUGGUUCUGCCUCUCUGCCCCUCUCUCUGCCAAUUGGAUUAUCAGCCUUCCGAACUCGUACAGCCCCCAACGCCCCAGGGCCAAAAGCCCCACCCCCUGACGACUACUACCCUGUCUCCAACAAUAAUAAUGCUACUGCAGGGGGCAGAGGCAGGCCAGACUCAGAGGAGGGGGCAGCCAACUCUUGA
ensembl:lncRNA